UACAGAGGGGGCAAGCGUUGUUCGGAAUUACUGGGCGUAAAGGGCGCGUAGGCGGCCCGCUAAGUCGAACGUGAAAUCCCCGAGCUCAACUCGGGAACUGCGUCCGAUACUGGCGGGCUUGAAUCCGGGAGAGGGAUGCGGAAUUCCAGGUGUAGCGGUGAAAUGCGUAGAUAUCUGGAGGAAUACCGGUGGCGAAGGCGGCAUCCUGGGCCGGCAUUGACGCUGAGGAGCGAAAGCCAGGGGAGCAAACGGG
rnacentral:rRNA from 1 species